rnacentral:rRNA from 1 species
AGGGCACCACCAGGAGUGGAGCCCGCGGCUUAAUUUGACUCAACACGGGAAAUCUCACCAGGCCCGGACACCGGAAGGAUUGACAGAUUGAGAGCUCUUUCUUGAUUCGGUGGGUGGUGGUGCAUGGCCGUUCUUAGUUGGUGGAGCGAUUUGUCUGGUUAAUUCCGAUAACGAACGAGACUCUGGCCUACUAACUAGACGUUAGAUCCCUUUGUGGGUCUAUCGCAGCUUCUUAGAGGGACGGGCGGCGUUUAGCCGCACGAGAUUGAGCAAUAACAGGUCUGUGAUGCCCUUAGAUGUUCUGGGCUGCACGCGCGCUACACUGAAGGAAUCAGCGUGUGUUCCCUGUCCGAAAGGACUGGGAAACCCGUUGAACCUCCUUCGUGAUGGGGAUUGGGGAUUGCAAUUAUUCCCCAUGAACGAGGAAUUCCCAGUAGGCGCGAGUCAUAAGCUUGCGUCGAUUACGUCCCUGCCCUUUGUACACACCGCCCGUCGCUACUACCGAUCGAGUGAUUUAGU